rnacentral:rRNA from 1 species
GGUUCGAUCUGGCUCAGAUUGAACGCUGGCGGGAUGCUUUACACAUGCAAGUCGAACGGCAGCACGGACUUCGGUCUGGUGGCGAGUGGCAGCGGGCUGUGAUAAUGUAUCGGAACGUGCCUAGUAGCGGGGGAUAACUACGCGAAAGCGUAGCUAAUACCGCAUACGCCCUUCGGGGAAAGCGGGGGACCUUCGGGCCUCGCACUAUUAGAGCAGCCGAUAUCGGAUUAGCUAGUUGGUGGGGUAACGGCUCACCAAGGCGACGAUCCGUAGCUGGUUUGAGAGGACGACCAGCCACACUGGGACUGAGACACGGCCCAGACUCCUACGGGAGGCAGCAGUGGGAAUUUUGGACAAUGGGGAAACCCUGAUCCAGCCAUCCCGCGUGUGCGAUGAAGGCCUUCGGGUUGUAAAGUACUUUUGGCAGGAAAGAAACGGCACGGGAUAAUACCCCGUGCAACUGACGGUACCUGCAGAAUAAGCACCGGCUAACUACGUGCCAGCAGCCGCGGUAAUACAUAAGUGCAAGCGUUAAUCGGAAUUACUGGGCGUAAAGCGUGCGCAGGCGGUUCGGAAAAGAUGUGAAAUCCCAGAGCUUAACUUUGGAACUGCAUUUUAACUACCGAGCUAGAGUGUGUCAGAGGAGGUGGAAUUCCGCGUGUAGCAGUGAAAUGCGUAGAUAUGCGGAGGAACACCGAUGGCGAAGGCAGCCUCCUGGGAUAACACUGACGCUCAUGCACGAAAGCGUGGGGAGCAAACAGGAUUAGAUACCCUGGUAGUCCACGCCUAAACGAUGUCAACUAGCUGUUAUUUGGGGCCUUCGGGCCUUGGUAGCGCAGCUAACGCGUGAAGUUGACCGCCUGGGGGUACGGUCGCAAGAUUAAAACUCAAAGGAAUUGACGGGGACCCGCACAAGCAGUGGAUGAUGUGGAUUAAUUCGAUGCAACGCGAAAAACCUUACCUACCCUUGACAUGUCUGCCGGAAUCCCGAAGAGAUUUGGGAGUGCUCGCAAGAGAACCGGAACACAGGUGCUGCAUGGCUGUCGUCAGCUCGUGAGGAUGUUGGGUUAAGUCCCGCAACGAGCUAGCCCUUGUCAUUAGUUUAUACGAAAGGGCACUCUAAUGAGACUGCCGGUGACAAACCCGGAGGAAGGUGGGGAUGACGUCAAGUCCUCAUGGCCCUUAUGGGUAGGGCUUCACACGUCAUACAAUGGUCGGGACGGGGGGUCGCCAACCCGCGAGGGGGAGCCAAUCCCAGACCCGAUCGUAGUCGGAUCGCAGUCUGCAACUCGACUGUGUGAAGUCGGAAUCGCUAGUAAUCGCGAAUCAGCAUGUCGCGGUGAAUACGUUCCGGAAUGUGGCACACACCGCCCGUCACACCAUGGGAGUGGGUUUACCAGAAGUAGUUAGCCUAACCGUAAGGAGGGCGAUUACCACGGUAGGAUUCAUGACUGGGGUGAAGUCGUAACAAGGUAA